AUUGAACGCUGGCGGCAGGCUUAACACAUGCAAGUCGAGCGGUAACAGAGAGAAGCUUGCUUCUCUGCUGACGAGCGGCGGACGGGUGAGUGAUGCCUAGGAAUCUGCCUAGUAGUGGGGGAUAACUUGCCGAAAGGUAAGCUAAUACCGCAUACGUCCUACGGGAGAAAGGAGGGGCCCUUCGGGCCUUUCCCUAUUAGUUGAGCCUAGGUCGGAUUAGUUAGUUGGUGAGGUAAUGGCUCACCAAGACCGCGAUCCGUAACUGGUCUGAGGGGCAGAUCAGUCACACUGGAACUGAGACACGGUCCAGACUCCUACGGGAGGCAGCAGUGGGGAAUAUUGGACAAUGGGGGGAACCCUGAUCCAGCCAUGCCGCGUGUGUGAAGAAGGUCUGAGGAUUGUAAAGCACUUUAAGUUGGGAGGAAGAGCAGUUAACUAAUAUUUGACUGUUUUGACGUUACCGACAGAAUAAGCACCGGCUAACUUCGUGCCAGCCGCCGCAGUAA
rnacentral:rRNA from 1 species